rnacentral:lncRNA from 1 species
UUUAGAUAGUAUGUUACUCCGUGUUGUUGUAACUAAAUCAUCAAAAGUUAGAAAGUGAUAAAUUUUAACAGUAUAGCUUAGAGUGUUUUAGGUAGAGAUUUUAGGAUUCAAAGCAACAGUGACGGUGAAGAUAAAGAUUUUUGGUGAUGGCAGAUCUUUGGCUGAAAUCCUUAAAAGAACCUGGAUAGACUAUAUAGCGGGCAAAAUUGUGUUUG